GAAACAAUUUUCAUCCUUUCAUAAAAGUCAUUCAAACAAAAUAUCACAACAACUUGCAAUCAUAUUUGGGGCUUCAAAACAGCCCCUAACUACUUAAAAUUUAGUUACACAUAAUUCACAAAUUAAACCAAAUGUUAAACAUGAGUUUGAGAAGAUAAAACCAAGAAAAAUGGAGUGAAGCCUCUUCUUCUUUUCCUGUGCCGUGCCUCCUCCUUUGUAUUGUUGUGCUACUGACUUCCCUCUGCGUUCAAUUCCCUGCCCUCUGUCUCUUCUGUCUCUCUCUUGUUUCUGUCGGUCUCUCCGCACACUUGGCUCUGCUGCGUGCUGCUUCUUUGGCAGUCUCUCCUCUCUCUUAUUAUUCUCUGUUUUCUGCUCCUGUCCUGCCCUCUGUCAUGCCUCUUUUUUCUGUCAGUUUCUCCUAUUGCCCCUUCUUAUUUCCGUUUCUUUCUUUGUUUAUUCUUUUAUUAUUCUUCUUUUCAGUCCUCCCUCCACUGUUUUUUUCUUUUAUUCUUUCUUUUGUUUUCCACUCAACCCGUGUGCCUUGAACAAAUCAUGCCAUCCUCUUAUUUUAUUCCCUUAUUCUUUUCUUUUGU
rnacentral:lncRNA from 1 species